UGGCUAAGAUUUAAAAUUUAGGUGACAG
rnacentral:misc_RNA from 1 species